rnacentral:tRNA from 1 species
UCUUUGAUAGCUCAGUGGUAGAGCAAAUGGCUGUUAACCAUUAGGUCGUGGGUUCGAAACCCACUCAGGGAU